AGUGUCUGGAUUUAUUGUCAGCAGAUGACAUGGAUCCCUAAGUGGACCAGUCCUUGGCUGGCCUUUCCUUCAGUUUCUGCUCCAUUCUUUCCCCCGGCAUUUCUUAUGACAGGAGGAAUUCUAGAUUAGUAGUUUGAGGUGGGUGUGUUGUCCCUCCCUCAACUAGGGGCCAUGUCUAUCCACUGGAUGUAGUCUCUUCAGGUUCUAUCUCCCCUUUGUUAGGUAUUUUGGCUAAAGUCUUUCCCUUUGGGCCCUGGGACUCUCGAGUGGCUACCCUCACUUCUCCUUACCCCACUGCUACACACCUUUCAAAUUAUUGACCCUCUGUACUUCUUUCCCAUCUUCUCCUAUAUCUAAACUGGUCCCCUUUUUGCUCCUCCUCCUCUCUCUCUUCCAGAAUCCUUUGGAUCUCUGCUUGUCAGAGAUUAUUCUCUUCCUCCUACUGGUUAGUACUGUAGCAUUUACACUUUGGUGUGAUCGUCUUUCUUCUUGGGUUUCAUAGGGUCUGUGAGUUGUAUCAUGGGCAUUUAAUCAUACCUCUCUCGUUGGUUGGUUUUAAUCAUAUCACAUCUUCAAUUUCCUAGGCAUUUUGUCACUAUUUGGCAUGAGCUCCCUUUCCUGGCAUGUGCCUCAAAUUAGAUCAGUCGUUAGUUGGCCACUCCCACAAGUUCUGCUUCUGCAUUGUGUCAGCACAUCUUGCAGUUAAGAUACAAAGUAGGACUCAAAUUUUGUGGAUGGAUUGGUGUCCCAGUCCAACCACCAGAAGCCUUGCUUGUUUACAGUCAAUGGCAUGCCCAGCCUUCAAAUUCUUCUUACCAGGCCUCCUAAUUGAUUCCUGGAAGUUUCUACUGCACUAGGUUUUUAUAUGGCCACUCAAAAUGCCUUUCAAUGACCUCAUACUCUCCUUUCAUUCUUCCCCAAUCACCUGAUCUCUUCUGUCCCCAUCCCUACCCACCCCAAAGAACAUUCCCCAAAAAUCUGUUCUAUUUCUUCUUUCUAAGGAAACCCAUGUGUCUCCCUUAGAGUCUUUCUUGCUAUAUAGCCUUUCUGGGUCUGUAGACGUAGCAUGAGUGUCAAUUACUUAUCAGUUAAAAUGAUCAAUGGGGGAAACUCAAAUGGCUGAGGAGCACACAAAGAGACGUUCAACAUCCUUGGCCGACAGGGAGAUACAAAUCAGUACUACUUUGAGAUUCCAUCUUAACAACUCUCAGGAUGGCUGAGGUUUCACCAUUAUCAAACUCUUGUGCAUUUGAUGCUUGCCUAUGGCGAGGCAGUGGCCCCUACUUGUUUAAGAUGGAGAAACAUCAGGACUACAUUAAGGAAGGAAUGUUUUAUUUAAAGCCUCCGUUGGUAACACACUACCCUAUUUCCCCUUACAAUUUGCUCACUCUAAUUGUUAAAACAUUUCCUGCUAUUUCUGAGCUGUGGAGACCACAAAAAUGUACAGAUGAUGCUCGACCAGGUCUACAUAGAGGAGCAAGUUUGUCUUUCAUCUGUCUUUUAAAAGUGUUUGAGACACUUCUUGGAUUACUUGUUCCUCUUUUACUACUACUUGUUAUUUAGAACUAACCUCCUUAAUGAUACAGGUUUUUAACUGAGUAGUUAGUGAGUCCUCAACGUUCGGAAAGUUUCGAGUGAAAUUCAGCAAGACAGAACACAGACAAGCAAACCCACCAGUAGAUGUAUAGGAAGAAAUGUAGCUGCAAAACUGAUUGCAGUGUGAACUGGGGAUUGUUGGACUCUAUUCCCUGAUUUAUAGUUCUAUUUUAAAGAAUGUAAAAUGCUAUCUCACUUUUAAAAUUUGGGGUAUCUGUUGUAAUUUAAUUUUCAAGGUGAAUUACAAACAAGGAGAAAUUCUUUUAUCAGAUAUUUAGAAACUAAUGGCAUUCUCGAUUAUUUGACAAAACUUUUAAGUACCUAAAUAACAUUAUUAAUCUUAACAGAAUCCAGUUCCAUUUCAGGCAUAAGAUUCUACUUCCGGAGAACAAUUACAUGUGUUAAGAUUUAACUAAAUUUUCCUACUGCCCUGCGUUCUCAAUUUUCUCUGUAUAUCUCAUAUCUCUCAGAGCUCCCAACAUGAGAAAUGAGAAAUGAAAGUAAAUCAAUACCCAGAUGUGUCAAACAUAUUUUAAUCAAGUUUCUCUGUGAAAGAAGACAAUUGUUUUGUGAAGCAUUCCGAACAUAAUAGACUUUAUGAUGGCAUGAAGGAUGAGCUCUGGGGUCCUAUUCAUGUUUGACAUUCUAUAAAGGGCUGAGAAAACACUUUUUGAAGGAAGAUCAACAAGAUAAAAAAGUAAAUGUUACCAAGAAUCUAUAAGUACUGACUCCUACAAGAGAAAGAAUGCAGUAAACAAAAUGACCAGCCAACCAACCAAUGAAAACCAAGUGUGUUUUGUCAAUUUUCACACCUAAGUGAACUGAGAAAAUGCCCUCUGCUUCCUUCUGUGGUGUCAGGAAGAAAUUCAAACCGUACAUGCCCUUCUCCAAAAGCAUCUACCCCACUUAUUGUCUUGUGUAGCCACAAUGGGGAGGGGAAAAAUAAGGGAGAAAGUGGGAAGACUGGCUUCAGUGAAAAGAAAUGAAGUACCAUGCAGAAGCUAUUAAGUUUCUUACCCAAAGUAUUUUAAAUAUCAUCAUCAAGAGUGGCAUCUGUUGAUUAGAUUGUUUCUUACGGUUUAGAAGUAAGUUCAAUUGCUUUAUAACCUAUCUGUGGUAUGAUCUAUCCCUAAUAUGACAUCUAGUGUGAUAUCUGUUAU
rnacentral:sRNA from 1 species